GUAUUAUCAUGAAUUCCCUACAAGCACUUCACAAGAAGCUAUUCCUAGGGCUAUUGUGAAGUGUUUGGGGGAACUCUUGAUGUCAC
rfam:Brachypodium distachyon strain Bd21 chromosome 1, whole genome shotgun sequence.